CACGUAGGGUGCGAGCGUUGUCCGGAAUUAUUGGGCGUAAAGGGCUCGUAGGCGGUUUGUCGCGUCUGCUGUGAAAUCCCGAGGCUCAACCUCGGGUCUGCAGUGGGUACGGGCAGACUGGAGUGCGGUAGGGGAGAAUGGAAUUCCUGGUGUAGCGGUGAAAUGCGUAGAUAUCAAGAGGAACACCUGAGGUGAAGACGGGUUGCUGGGCCGACACUGACGCUGAGUGCGCGAAAGCCAGGGGAGCAAACGGG
rnacentral:rRNA from 1 species